rnacentral:tRNA from 1 species
GUCCAGGGGCGGGAAUCGAACCCACAACCUCCUGCUUACCAGGCAGGUGCCAUGUCCACUAGGCUACCCUGGA